rnacentral:rRNA from 1 species
UACGUAGGGUGCGAGCGUUGUCCGGAAUUAUUGGGCGUAAAGAGCUCGUAGGCGGUUUGUCGCGUCGACUGUGAAAACUGGGGGCUUAACUCUCAGCUUGCAGUUGAUACGGGCAGACUUGAGUUCGGUAGGGGAGACUGGAAUUCCUGGUGUAGCGGUGAAAUGCGCAGAUAUCAGCAGGAACACCCGUGGCGAAGGCGGCUUCCUGGAUCACCCCUGACGCUGAGACGCGAAAGCGUGGGGAGCGAACGGG